UAAUGGAUUUUAUUUGGGUUUUAAUGGAUUUUAACUGUGUUUUAGCUUAAAACUAUAUUCUAAAAGUUAAAAACAGCUGUCAUACAUUAGACGAAGCUGUUUGACGGCAGCUAUGCAGUUUAGUUUAUUAAUACUGUAAGUUUUGAAAACCAGGAAUAAAUCAGCAAAAGCAUACCAUCCAUUACCAUCAAAGGUUUCAAGUGAUACAAAAAAUUAAUUUCGGAACGGGGAAUGUUUAACUGAUCAUACAUAAUUUAAUACUUUUUUCCCCAAUACUUCCUCUCAUACACUAUUUCAUUGGUACGAAUAAUUUUUUUAAAAUAUUAUAUUUUUUUUAAUUUGGAAGGUUUUUUAAAUUUAAUGUUUAAAAGCGAUCUGAAUUAUCACCUCUGGAAAAAUCGAGUACUUAUGGACAGCGAAAUACUUUAUUAUGAGCAAAAGAAGUAUAUCUGUAAAAAGCACUUCUUAUAUGCUCGACAUAAUACGUGCUUUCGUUGUUUAUAAAUACUCCAUUUUUUCCAUGCACGUUAAGAUCGCUUUGAAGCAUUAAAUUUUAAAAACUUAAAACAAAUUGGAUUUCAUUAUUAUGAGAGGAAGUAUUCGGGAAAAAGUAAUAAUUAUGGUCGCAAAUAGUAUUAAAUUAUGAUCAGUUAAUAGGACCCUUUCGGAACAGAUAAAUACAUAAACAUGGACAAUGAGGAUUUGCAUAUGAAAGACUGGAAUUGGAUUGCAAUAGGUGUGAAAAUUUUUGUUCAGUGUAUUAAUUAUGGAAAACCUAAUAAAACCCAAUAAAACCCCUGGGUCGUUACUUUUUGAUUAAAACCCUGGGUUUUUCCGAACCCUGAUUAAAAUAAAUAAAAUUUAAUUAUUUUAAAGCAAAUUUAAUUCACGACGUAUGUAUUUCGCAGGAUGUAAAUAAGAAGAUUAAAUAAUUUGUUUAUAUUUCUCGCAGGAAACGUGGCGAGGACAGUUCGAAAUGCCAAAUAUUUUUGUGCUCGACUAUUGGCAUUAUUUUUCCAGCAUGGUAUUGCGGUUUUUGCUAUUUUUUGCCAACGGAUUUGAGGAGUAACCAGUGUCAGGCCAGUACGGUAGGGUAUCCUCAAGUCUGGGACACGUGGGUGUCACUGGUCCAUAAAAAUGCGGGCCUCGUGGUAUCAGUCGCGGUUACUUUAUUCACCGCAUUUUUCUGCGAUUUUGAUUCCGAAAUUGGUGCCGAAAAUGGAGCGCGUCGUUAGUCGUUUCAAUUGAAGCUUAAACUGUUGCUCCUCGUUUAUGGGAUUUCCGCAUGGCUACAAAUCCUCGAGAUUUUACUUUACCUGGUCACCGAUAAGUAUAACGCGAUGGUAAUUUGCAGGAUAUGUAAUUUUAAAAGUGUUCUCCUUUUGUUCCUUCUCGUGAGAGACGAUCGGACAAAAGAUGGGGUUUCAGAAGCGAUAAAACGCUAUGAGGAACGAUUAGUGGAACAGAGAGGCGAAUUCAAGACCAGAAUUUCCUCGAAAGGACCCACUUUCUCGCUGUAUAUGCAGACUAACUGGAAUAUUUUGAAGAUUAUGUUCGCCAUCCUUCUCAAGCUGAUGGGCAGGUGGGGUGCAAAGUGCAAAUAACGAGAAAGGUGUUUCAGACCAGACAACAACAAAUAUAUCUCUGUAAUGCUUUUUUAAGAAACAUUUUUUGAAGAAAAUACAAUAAAGAAAUUACUGUAUGCAAUGAAAUAAUAAAGUAUUUUGCAUCAAAGUAUUUAAUUGAGAAUUAAUUUUCACUGAACACGUGAUUUUCAAGUUUUCGUUUUCAUGAUUUUCUUUUUCACUGAUUGUCAGGAUCAUACAUACAAUUCAUAAUUUAAAAUAUUCAUAUUAUUAAAAUCUGCAUAUUUAUAUUUA